rnacentral:misc_RNA from 1 species
GGCAAGGUAACUGAGGGCCGAGAAACACUCCUUUGCAUAGAGCACAUUGGAAUACAUAUCCACAUCUUCUACCCGAUAGGGGUCAUUCCUCAAAAGUUCUUCAAAUAUUACUUCAACUUGUUCAAAUUCCCUUAGACAGUACUGGGCUUUUGCAAUUUGAGCCCGUAUGUAAUUACUGAAACUAAAAGUGUUUUGCAAAUGUUCAUAUUUUG